CAGCAGUAGCCGCGGUAAGACAGAGGAUGCAAGCGUUAUCCGGAAUGAUUGGGCGUAAAGCGUCUGUAGGUGGCUUUUCAAGUCCGCCGUCAAAUCCUAAGGCUCAACCCUGGACAGGCGGUGGAAACUACCAAGCUGGAGUAUGGUAGGGGCAGAGGGAAUUUCCAGUGGAGUGGUGAAAUGCGUUGAGAUCGGAAAGAACACCAACGAUGAAAGCACUCUGCUGGGCCGACACUGACACUGAGAGACGAAAGCUAGGGGAGCAAAUGGGAUUAGAUACCCCCGUAGUCCCUGUCUCUUAUAC
rnacentral:rRNA from 1 species